rnacentral:rRNA from 1 species
GACGAACGCUGGCGGCGUGCUUAACACAUGCAAGUCGAACGGAAAGGCCCUGCUUUUGUGGGGUGCUCGAGUGGCGAACGGGUGAGUAACACGUGAGUAACCUGCCCUUGACUUUGGGAUAACUUCAGGAAACUGGGGCUAAUACCGGAUAGGAGCUCCUGCUGCAUGGUGGGGGUUGGAAAGUUUCGGCGGUUGGGGAUGGACUCGCGGCUUAUCAGCUUGUUGGUGGGGUAGUGGCUUACCAAGGCUUUGACGGGUAGCCGGCCUGAGAGGGUAACCGGCCACAUUGGGACUGAGAUACGGCCCAGACUCGUACGGGAGGCAGCAGUGGGGAAUAUUGCACAAUGGGCGGAAGCCUGAUGCAGCAACGCCGCGUGCGGGAUGACGGCCUUCGGGUUGUAAACCGCUUUCGCCUGUGACGAAGCGUGAGUGACGGUAAUGGGUAAAGAAGCACCGGCUAACUACGUG